AGAAGAAAAUAAAAUGAGCAAUAAACAAAAGAACUUUAACCAAAGCAGACUACUAUGGUGACAGAGAAGACCAACUCAGUUGAGGACAGUUGUCCACAGAAGAAAUCUCAAAAAAAUUAUUGGUUUACCUGAAGGUCAUUUACCAAAAAAAGCAGCCUUGAUAUAUUAGAAGCAAAGGGGGAAAUAGUCACUGAAAGAAUGUCCACAAGGAACAUUGUUGCAAAACUCCAGAAGUAUAAUCUCAAAGCAAAAAUACUGCAAGCUACCAGAAAAAAGCAAUUUAAGUAUCAAGGAGCAACAGUCAGAGUUACUCAGGAUCUGGCAGCUUCUGUAACAAAGUAUCUGAGGUCUGGAACACCAUAUUCUAAAAGGCAAAGGACCCUGAGGUUACACAAAGACUAAACUACUAUGACUGAGCAGCAUUUUUCAGAGGAGAUGGAUCUUCACUGAAGUUAGAGAGUUUCAAUCAUUUCUAUUGAAAAACCCGAACUAAACAACAUUUGAUCUUCAAACACAGGACUCCAGAGAAGUAUACAAAGGAUAUCUCACCUCCCAUCUCUGUUCCUGGGGAUGCUCUUACUUCUUGGUCAUCUGCAGAACAUCAGAGGGCAGAUGUACCAGAGAAAAUUCUCCAUGUGGAAAAAAAAAAAGUCCUAAUUCUAGGCAUGGUACUCUAUCCACUUCUCCACCUACCUGCUUUUGGAACAGGAUAACACUGAAAAUCCCAUAUUGAGCCUGAUGAUGCAGAUUUGUAAUUUCAAGUACAGGAGAGACUGAGAGAUGAGAAACCUGAAGCUGAUAAAAGGUUAAUGGAUCACACAGUUCAUCAACGUCAGAGGGAAGAUUUGAGUUCUUAGUCCAUUCCCAGCCAUGCCACUAACUGCCUUGCAAGUGCUAAUGACAUAGUUAUGUCAUCUUCAACUGGGGGGGCUGGGAAGUGAUUAAUGUGUUUUUUUUUUCAUUCAUUUGACAUACAUUCAGCAUCUGCUAGAUACUGUGGAGAUUAAUGUGUUCUUAUACCUUUUCAUAAGGAAAGACUGAAAACAGUGCAUUUUCAUUAUAGCAUCAAACAUUGGAAACUACAAGUAUUAUCUUAGGCCAGCAUUUUGAUGGAAAGAGAAAUUCAAAUAAAUUUUAACAUGCUCACCUGUGAUUUUGAAUCACACAUCAUUCUCCCUCAGUGCUUAUCGGGUGCAAUCGAAACAAGGAAGUUCAGCGCCAUAUGGUGGAUGUUUCUCUCCAAUUCAGUGCUUUUAGAACA